rnacentral:lncRNA from 1 species
GCUUCUCCCGCACUCCCUCUAGGCCCUGGCUGCAGGUGCUGAGGGUGUUCAGUGCAGGGCAGGGCCCGGCAGGAGCAGGCCAGUGACUCUGUGACUGCUUCCUGCACCCGCUGCCCUGUGCUGGCCAGUGACUCCCACAGUGUUCUUGCUUAGGCAGCUGUGGUGAGCACAGCCAGGUCCCCACAGCACGCUGUGUGUUUCUGGCACCCACUCUGUGCAUGGCUUUCCUUGUGCGUUUGUUCACAAGGCCCUUGGGGUGGAGGCUUGCCAUGCACACGCCACCUACCGGUGUGCACAGCCUGAGGGGGCCAGGGGCGCAGUGGGGCCCUGUGAGGGCAUGGAAACCCGGGGAGCUCUGCACAGCGGGGAGAUGGUGAGCAACGCGCUCCUCAUCUGGUGCUCGCUCGUGGCUGCCAUCAAACAAGCCCAAGCGACGCAGAGCACUGGAAGGCCGUGUGCAGGGACCCAGACAGGCCAGGAAGAGAUCUGCAGGGAAGCGGGGUCCCGUCCAGGCCCUGCCCUUCCGGUAGAAGUGUCCUUGUGCCUGGUGGUGGAGCUGGGGAAGGUGUGAGCCAGGAGGGCUGAAGCCGCAGGGACAUCGGGAGUGCGGCCGAGGACUUCGAUGGCCUUGGCAGAGCCCCAGGGAGCUUCUUGCCAGGAGCCGCCAGGGCUUGGGAGAGAGCGUCAGAGUCAGAGCUUCCUGUGUCUGGGUGACAGCGCUGGCCAGAGGUGGGGGCAGAGGCGGAACUCAAAGGUCUCCGAGUGAGUCUAUCAGAACCACUUAGCCCUGCCACACCGUGCUCUGGACUCACUUUCAGAGAUGGGGGAGAGGACUCAUCUCGCAGCAGAGGAGCAGACGUUCAUGAGAACGAGCACUUGGUGACCUCGGAGGAAAGGCGGCCACGAAGACGGUGCUCUGCAGGGGAGACGUGUGGAAGUGGGUUUCAGCUGUGCUGCCUCCCGUUCUGCCGCGGGGAGACGGACAGUGUGAGGAACCAGAAGAGCGGAACUGGGAUGGGAAGACCACGGCUGGAGAAGCAACAUCCACAUCGAGGGCCACAUGACAGCGGGGAGCCAGGGCACUGGCUUCUGAAGGGCACUCAAGGAGAUGUGAACGCCAAGAAACAAGACACACCACUGCCAUCAAACACGCGUGUCAGCACUAGGCCGGGACGGAGACCUCUGGACCCUCUGCAGCCCCUUUCCCAGCACCGAUUUCAGGGCUUCGACAGUGAAUGGUAGAGACCCCCG